rnacentral:rRNA from 1 species
UACGUAGGGUGCAAGCGUUAAUCGGAAUUACUGGGCGUAAAGCGUGCGCAGGCGGCUUUGCAAGACAGAUGUGAAAUCCCCGGGCUUAACCUGGGAACUGCAUUUGUGACUGCAUGGCUGGAGUGCGGCAGAGGGGGAUGGAAUUCCGCGUGUAGCAGUGAAAUGCGUAGAUAUGCGGAGGAACACCGAUGGCGAAGGCAAUCCCCUGGGCCUGCACUGGACGCUCAGUGCACGAAAGCGUGGGGAGCAAACAGGA